rnacentral:rRNA from 1 species
GACGAACGCUGGCGGCGCGCCUAACACAUGCAAGUCGAACGAGCGAGAGAGAGCUUGCUUUCUGGAGCGAGUGGCGAACGGGUGAGUAACGCGUGAGGAACGUGCCUCACAGAGGGGGGCAACAGUUGGAAACGACUGCUAAUACCGCAUAAGCCCACGACCCUGUAUCGGGUUGAGGGAAAAGGAGCAAUCCGCUUUGAGAUGGCCUCGCGUCCGAUUAGCUAGUUGGUGUGGUAACGGCCCACCAAGGCGACGACCGGUAGCCGGACUGAGAGGUUGAACGGCCACAUUGGGACUGAGACACGGCCCAGACUCCUACGGGAGGCAGCAGUGGGGAAUAUUGCACAAUGGGGGAAACCCUGAUGCAGCGAUGCCGCGUGGGUGAAGAAGGUCUUAGGGUUGUAAACCCCUGUUGUUGGGGAAGAUAAUGACGGUACCGAGAGAAGAAGCGCCGGCUAACUACGUG